AGAGUUUGAUCAUGGCUCAGAUUGAACGCUGGCGGCAUGCCUUACACAUGCAAGUCGAACGGCAGCACGGGAGCUUGCUCCUGGUGGCGAGUGGCGAACGGGUGAGUAAAGCAUCGGAACGUACCCAGUCAUGGGGGAUAACGUAGCGAAGUUACGCUAAUACCGCAUACGACCUGAGGGUGAAGCAGGGGAUCGCAAGACCUUGCGUGAUUGGAGCGGCCGAUGUCGGAUUAGCUAGUUGGUGGGGUAAAGGCCUACCAAGGCGACGAUCCGUAGCGGGUCUGAGAGGAUGAUCCGCCACACUGGGACUGAGACACGGCCCAGACUCCUACGGGAGGCAGCAGUGGGGAAUUUUGGACAAUGGGGGAAACCCUGAUCCAGCCAUGCCGCGUGGGUGAAGAAGGCCUUCGGGUUGUAAAGCCCUUUCGGACGGAAAGAAAUCGUCGUCUCUAAUAGAGGCGGUGGAUGACGGUACCGUAAGAAGAAGCACCGGCUAACUACGUGCCAGCAGCCGCGGUAAUACGUAGGGUGCGAGCGUUAAUCGGAAUUACUGGGCGUAAAGCGUGCGCAGGCGGUUUUUUAAGCCAGAUGUGAAAUCCCCGGGCUUAACCUGGGAAUUGCAUUUGGAACUGGAAGACUAGAGUGCGGCAGAGGGGGGUGGAAUUCCUGGUGUAGCAGUGAAAUGCGUAGAGAUCAGGAGGAACACCGAUGGCG
rnacentral:rRNA from 1 species